UGCCAGCCGCCGCGGUAAUACAGAGGGUGCAAACGUUGCUCGGAAUUACUGGGCGUAAAGCGCGUGUAGGCGGAUUCGAAAGUCAGAUGUGAAAUCCCCGGGCUCAACCUGGGAACUGCAUUUGAAACUUCGUGUCUAGAGUGAUGGAGAGGAAAGCGGAAUUAUCGGUGUAGAGGUGAAAUUCGUAGAUAUCGAUAGGAACACCAGUGGCGAAGGCGGCUUUCUGGACAUUUACUGACGCUGAGACGCGAAAGCAUGGGGAGCAAACAGGAUUAGAUA
rnacentral:rRNA from 1 species